rnacentral:lncRNA from 1 species
CCACAUGUCCCUGAAUAAUUGUUCUAAACUUCUGACCUUUCUAUGCACCUCCUCCUGCUCACAAUUUUUGAUUGACUUUUCAGCUCCCACCGGGAUUUCGGGACGGGGAGCAUAGGAGUAGGGCUCAUGGGUUCUGUAAGCAGGUUCCGGCAGAUAGUAUUGGGAGUCGUAAGCUUGAAGCAAGGGUUCACUUGACGAUCUAUGGAGUGCGGGAGGAGGAGGUGCCACAUAGAUGGGGGCAAUUGGCGAAGGGAGGUGAGUAUCGACUUUGGGUAAUGGAGCUGGUAGUCGUACCCUGGUGCUGCGAGUAGAUAGGAAAACUUGAGUGUGGAUCAGUUGUGGACGGGUCAAGAGCUUGGGCUAGUGGCGGGAAGAAGGUGGGAUUAGCAGGAUAGAUUGGGGUGGCUGUCCUCUUGCCCAUGCAUGUCAUGAGAAAUAGUUGUGGUGCUUUAGUUUGUAUGUAUCCUCCUUCAUGGCGUUAACGUCCAAUUCCUCUGCAUCUUUCGAGGGGUCAAUAAUACUGACAUCAGUUUUCUGAUUGGUCAUGACUUGCUUGCUCUUAGAUCGCUUGUUGUAGGAGUGGGUUGCCAGAAUGCCAUAAGUACCAACCACCUGUCUACUCUGGAAUGGACAAAACACUAAAAACUUGUUGAUGGUUAGGUUAUAACACGCAAGUGGCAACAUUUUGAGUGUGAAUGCACCUAAAUAAUGAUUGAUCACUUCAUGUAUUGGUUUCUUGCAUCAUCCCAACUUUCAUUUUCUUUGUUUGCAAGGC